rnacentral:rRNA from 1 species
AUGCACGCUGGCGGCGUGCCUAAUACCUGCAAGUCGCGCGAACAGAUAAGGAGCUUGCUCCUUUGACGUUAGCGGCGGACGGGUGAGUAACACGUGGGUAACCUACCUAUAAGACUGGAAUAACUCCGGGAAACCGGGGCUAAUGCCGGAUAACAUUUAGAACCGCAUGGUUCUAAAGUGAAAGAUGGUUUUGCUAUCACUUAUAGAUGGACCCGCGCCGUAUUAGCUAGUUGGUAAGGUAACGGCUUACCAAGGCAACGAUACGUAGCCGACCUGAGAGGGUGAUCGGCCACACUGGAACUGAGACACGGUCCAGACUCCUACGGGAGGCAGCAGUAGGGAAUCUUCCGCAAUGGGCGAAAGCCUGACGGAGCAACGCCGCGUGAGUGAUGAAGGUCUUCGGAUCGUAAAACUCUGUUAUUAGGGAAGAACAAAUGUGUAAGUAACUGUGCACGUCUUGACGGUACCUAAUCAGAAAGCCACGGCUAACUACGUG